GACGAACGCUGGCGGCGUGCUUAACACAUGCAAGUCGAACGAAGUGGCGAACGGGUGAGUAACGCGUAAUCAACCUGCCCUUCAGAGGGGGACAACAGUUUGAAACGACUGCUCAUACCCUAUUCUGAAGUAGGGGCUUGCGUCUGAUUUGCUAGGUGGAGGGGUAACGGCCCACCAAGGCGAUGAUCAGUAGCCGGUCUGGGAGGAGGAACGGCCACAGUGGGACUGGGACACGGCCCAGACUCCUACGGGAGGCAGCAGUUGGGAAUCUUCCGAAAUGGACGGAAGUCUGACGGAGCAACGCCGCGUGAGGGAUGACGGCCUUCGGGUUGUAAAGCUCUGUUAGUCGGGACGCGGUACCGGAAUAGAAAGCCACGGCUAACUACGUGCCAGCAGCCGCGGUAAUAC
rnacentral:rRNA from 1 species